UCGCAAACCCUGCAGUCUCACCUGCUUCCAAACCCUGGAAUUUCGUGUGCUUUUAUUUUUUUAUUUUUUUAAUUAUGGAAGAUCAUCCUUGAAAUUGAUUGGAGCCCCAACAAUGUUCUUAUUUUUCUCCGAAUAUCUAGCUUUAAUUUUCAUCAUGACGAUGGUAUCUGCUCUAGAAUUUCAUGUGCCUUUUGUUUUUAAUUUUCCUUAUCUUCCCCUUUUCAUAGGCUAAAGAACAACAGUAGAACCUGAAUGGAGCUCCAACAAACUUUUUAUUCAUUUAUAAGCGUCAUGGUUCAGGGAUCUAUUCUUUUGUCUUUUCUUUCCAUACUUACAUUAGGGGGUAACUGCUUUAAUCCGAAGCACUAGAAACUCAUCAUCUCUAUGCAGUGUUGGGUGAUAACUGUAGAUGCAAAGACUGUAUUUGUAGAGAUUUGACACCUUAUUAUUGGGUUCGGUUUCGAAAUCUGUCAAAAUUUUAGAAGUUUGAAAUCUUAUGACACUUGCCUCGUUUGCCCGCUUUGAUUGAGCAUUUACCCUUUUCUUUUAUCCUCUUUGUAAUGGAGGGCUCACAGCUAGCUGUCGAUCCCUCUUAUUGGAUGGAUAGUUGGUGUAGGUGAACUGAUGCCCAUGAAUAGAAAUUUAGUUGACUUAGGAUUACCUAAACAAUCUUUACGAUGGUAUCACAGCCUGUGGAAAUAUGCUUAAAUUGAAACAAAUUCCUGGCUGCUUUCAAUAUGUGGAUUGCUAAAAUUGUGAAAUAGGUAGGACUUGAUUGAGAAAUGUGAAGUGGGCCUUGAUGACUCAGAAACAUGUUACUCGUUUUAUAGAUUCAUCUACAUUUUAAACGAAUAGGUUUAGGAAUAUGAUCCAGAGUUUGUAAGAGACUUGAUAACAGGUUAUAUUCUGAAUUUGUCAGGACCCUCCCCAGACUGCUUGACUAGGGAAGAAGAAUGGUUCAAGAGGAGCAGGUGCAAUUCAGAGGUACAGAACAAUGUUUAAAUUUACAGUCUCUACUCAAAAAAAGAAUUUAUCUAUCCCUUUCCACCAAGGAGAAAAGCAAGCAACAGUAACUUUGAUAGUCUACAUUACCUUGUCAUAGCAUUGAAAUUCUCCGAUCCCGGGAAACCUCCAAGUUCCAUUGCUCUCAGGGUACGAUGGAUAUCUCAGCUCUCCACAAGGGCCCAUCCCGACUUGAAUUUCCUGAAGGAUUGAUGCUCACCACAAUCACAUCGCCAAGGUAGUCGCUGAAUCUUUCAUGGAAACUUCUCAUGUAGUCGGCAUAGACUUGGAUGGGAGUUCUGCCCCUUAGGACUGGCAGUGUGUCGCAGCCUAAGGAGAUAUACUCUGGGUUCCUCCUUCCCGACCUGUCGGUGUAUACGAUAUCUGGAUCCUUGCUCAUUUCCUGAAGAACCCAUGGCGGUAAUGGUAUGCUGCGAAACAUAAAACAUUCCCAUUCAGAGAGUGUUGAGUUUUGUGAUAAGAAACAAACAAAAGCUUUAGAAUCUUUCUUUUCUGAAAGAUGAAUCAUAUUAGAAAAAGUUAAGUAGCAACAUUGAUUAGAGUCGCUGCCUUUAAAACCUGUGCCUUGAGAACGGCAGUUCCUAGGACUCAAAAUAAGGCUCAAAUCAUUUUCUGAUUCGUAUAAAUCUUAUCACUAAAGAUGCAAGGAAUUAUUUGUGGGAAAUGAUUGCUAGCUGUUCUGGUUCAUGAAUAGUUUUUUUUUGUUCCUUCACAAAGAGGAAUACAUCUCUUUUCCUUCCCUUUCCUUUUCUUUCUUUUUCUUUUUCUUUUUCUUUUUACUUUUUUGACUAGUGAGUCGUAAUAAAAGUGCUUUCUUCGGAACAACAAAAGCCACUAAAGUAAAUACAAAAAAGGACGGGUUUUUAACCGGUAAAAAUGAAGGGAAAAAAUCUUUUAAAAUGCAACAGAUGAAAUUGAUAGGUGAAGAUUGAAGGCAGUCUAGUAGAAGAGAAGGUAAACAGCAAAGACAGGGUCUGGUUGUCUCAAUUCAAAAGGGUUGUGAAGCCAAGAGAGAGCACAAACACCCCAGCAAACAAUUGGCCCUGAUACACGGACCAAUGGAAUGCUAAUAUGAUGAGCGCCUUCUCCAAAGAAACUAAUCUUGUAAAAAAAGGGAACUAAUCAUAUGUUAAGAGAAACGUCGUUUGAACCACCAAUUGUUCAUCCAUGG